CUCUGUACUGACUAAUGAUGAUACUAGUUAUUUGAUACUGCUCCUAAUGCUCUAGUAGAAGAGGCUGCUGAAGGGCACACUCAAGAACAGGGGACUGCUCCAGAACAAGAAGCAUGUGCAAGUCUGGUGUAGACAAACAAGACAUCUGGACGAGAAGAAAAAGAAGUGCAAGGCUGGUAAGGUCGAGACUCAUCUUGAAUUCCCUGGACGUGAAAAGGUUAAAUUUGGUGAAGUUGUCGAAGCUCCACCAAAGUUAUCAUUCCCAAAGAGGUGAUCGACGCUGACAAGCGCGGCCCGGUGGCGCUGUGCUCUUCAACCACUCAGAGGCGGACUUCGCCGUGAAGUCCGGAGGCCACGUCGCACAGAUGAUCGUCCAGGUGAUUUCGA